GGGGAUUUGGCUCAGUGGUAGAGCGCUUGCCUAGCAAGCACAAGGCCCUGGGUUCGGUUCCCAGCUCCG
rnacentral:tRNA from 1 species